GACGAACGCUGGCGGCGUGCUUAACACAUGCAAGUCGAACGGAAAGGCCCUGCUUUUGUGGGGUGCUCGAGUGGCGAACGGGUGAGUAACACGUGAGUAACCUGCCCUUGACUUUGGGAUAACUUCAGGAAACUGGGGCUACUACCGGAUAGGAGCCCCUGCUGCAUGGUGGGGGUUGGAACGUUUCGGCGGUCGGGGAUGGACUCGCGGCUUAUCAGCUUGUUGGUGGGGUAGUGGCUUACCAAGGCUUUGACGGGUAGCCGGCCUGAGAGGGUGACCGGCGACAUUGGGACUGAGAUACGGACCAGACUCCUACGGGAGGCAGCAGUGGGGAAUAUUGCACAAUGGGCGGAAGCCUGAUGCAGAAACGCCGCGUGCGGGAUGACGGCCUUCGGGUUGUAAACCGCUUUCGCCUGUGACGAAGCGUGAGUGACGGUAAUGGGUAAAGAAGCACCGGCUAACUACGUG
rnacentral:rRNA from 1 species